rnacentral:rRNA from 1 species
UACGGAGGAUCCAAGCGUUAUCCGGAAUCAUUGGGUUUAAAGGGUCCGUAGGCGGUUUAAUAAGUCAGUGGUGAAAGCCCAUCGCUCAACGGUGGAACGGCCAUUGAUACUGUUAGACUUGAAUUAUUAGGAAGUAACCUAGAAUAUGUAGUGUAGCGGUGAAAAUGCUUAGAGAUUACAUGGAAUACCAAUUGCGAAGGCAGGUUACUACUAAUUGAUUGACGCUGAUGGACGAAAGCGUGGGUAGCGAACAGG